AACCGCCGUAUACGGAUCCGUACGUACGGUGGUGUGAGAGGUCGGAAACCGAAGGUUUCCUCCUACUCGAU
rnacentral:ncRNA from 1 species